ensembl:snRNA U6 U6 spliceosomal RNA
GUGCUCACUUUGGCAGCACAUAUACUAAAAUUGGAACCGUACAGUGAAGAUUAGCAUGGCCUCUGUGCAAGGAUGACACUCAAAUUCACGAAUUGUUCCAUAUUAAA